CCAGGUUGAUUCUGCCUGACGUAGACGCUAUUCCCUAAGAUUAACCCAUGCAUGUUUUUGACAUUUGAAAAAUGGACUGCUCAGUAAUACUCACUUUAUUUUAUGUAUAUUUGAAAUUAACUACGUUAAAGUGUAGAUAAGAUGUGUACAGUAAGAGUGAGACCUAUCAGCUAGUUGUUAAGGUAAUGGCUUAACAAGGCAGUGACGGGUAACGGUAUUACUUUGUAAUAUUCCGGAGAAGGAGCCUGAGAGACGGCUACUAAGUCUAAGGAUUGCAGCAGGGGCGAAACUUGACCUAUGGAUUUUAUCUGAGGCAGUUAUGGGAAGUAAUAUUAUAUUGUUUCAUAUUGUAAAAGUAUAUGAGGUGAUUAAUUGGAGGGCAAAUCAAGUGCCAGCAGCCGCGGUAAUACUUGUUCUAAGAGUGUGUAUGAUGAUUGAUGCAGUUAAAAAGUCCGUAGUUUAUUUUUAAGAAGCAAUAUGAGGUGUACUGUAUAGUUGGGAGAAAGAUGAAAUGUGACGACCCUGACUGGACGAACA
rnacentral:rRNA from 1 species